UCCAGCUUAUCGCUGGCGGUCUCCUGAGAGUGCCCCUUGCGGGUGGCAACACAGGACGAGGGUUGCGCUCGUUGCGGGACUUAACCCAACAUCUCACGACACGAGCUGACGACAGCCAUGCAGCACCUCGACUGGACGCCCUUGCGGGCUAGCAGUGUUUCCACCGCCGUUGACCAGCCGUUCGAGCCCAGGUAAGGUUCUUCGCGUUGCGUCGAAUUGAACCACAUGCUCCACCGCUUGUGCGGGCCCCCGUCAAUUCCUUUGAGUUUCAGCCUUGCGACUGUACUCCCCAGGCGGCAUACUUAACGCGUUAGCUCCGGCACGGACCGACUGAACGGCCCACACCAAGUAUGCAUCGUUUAGGGCGUGGACUAC
rnacentral:misc_RNA from 1 species